rnacentral:rRNA from 1 species
GUUAUAUGGUCAAGUGAAGAAGCGCAUACGGUGGAUGCCUUGGCAGUCAGAGGCGAUGAAAGACGUGGUAGCCUGCGAAAAGCUUCGGGGAGUCGGCAAACAGACUGUGAUCCGGAGAUAUCUGAAUGGGGGAACCCAGCCAUCAUAAGAUGGUUAUCUUGUACUGAAUACAUAGGUGCAAGAGGCGAACCAGGGGAACUGAAACAUCUAAGUACCCUGAGGAAAAGAAAUCAACCGAGAUUCCCUUAGUAGUGGCGAGCGAACGGGGACCAGCCCUUAAGUUGUAUUGAGAUUAGCGGAAC